rnacentral:rRNA from 1 species
AUUGAACGCUGGCGGCAAGCCUAACACAUGCAAGUCGAACGAGUGGCGGACGGGUGAUUAAUGUCUGGGCAACUGCCUGAUGGAGGGGGAUAACUACUGGAACCGGUCGCUAAUACCGCAUACCCUCCGCUGUUCCCAGAUGGGAUUAGCUAGUAGGUGGGGGAAAGGCUCACCGAGGCGACGAUCCCUAGCUGGUCUGGGAGGAUGCCCAGCGACCCUGGAACGGGGAAACGAUCCAGAAUCCGACGGGAGGCAGCAGUGGGGAAGAUUGGACAAUUGGCGCAAGCCUGAUGCAGCCAUGCCGCGUGUAUGAAGAAGGCCUUAGGGUUGUAAAGUACUUUCAGCGGGGAGGCGUUACCCGCAGAAGAAGCACCGGCUAACGCCGUGCCAGCAGCCGCGGUAAUUC